AGGCUCCCAGGCUCGAGUGAUCAGCACGGAGGCCCUGCUGACCGCUCGUCUCUAAUUCUUGCCUGACACAGACAUUCCCUGCCCAGGGAAGUGUUUGAUUUAUGUUGAGGUUUGAGUGUCGGGAUUUUGCUGACAGAGAUGAAGAAACUAAAGUUCAAAGUGAUUUAAUAAGUUUCUCAAGCUGCAAGUGGAAGAGUCAACUGGGAUUUGAUCCGAGAGCAGAGCCUGGGUGCCCAACCACUUUACAGAGGUCUUGGUGACAGGAGGGCCAUUUGGUGUCGGCUGUAAUUGCAAAGCUUACUGCAGCCCAAAGGAUGGCACACUUGUCUGUGUACCUGUCUACCUGCCUCCUAGGAGGCUGUGGAGUUUCUGUCAGCCUUGUUGCAACUCACAGGCCCAGAGAGCGGAAGGGACUUGCCCAAGGACACACAGCAAGGUAGAGACAGAGCAGGCCCUGGCUGCAGCCUCCUGAUGCCAACCACCUGGUGCCCAGAGCCACAUCAAUAGUUCUUAGGUGCCCCAGGUGAAUGACUAAUAUAAGCAGAAACGAUCCCCUCGGCCUCCUGGAGAUGAGCGUGAUUAAACACAGCAACAGCAACUUCAGCGUGGCGUACGACGGACAUAAACGUCUCCAUGUCUCCUUGCUGAGCGUGGCUGUGAAACAGUCAGGCACAAGAUGAAAGGACAGUGACACAGCUGAGGCAGCACUUUGUCUCCACCGUGCCUGCAGCCCGUUUUACUGAGUGUGCCAGUGUGUCAAACGCCACGGAAUGAAAAGAAAGAUGUUUUUGUUGACGAGGGCUCCAUCCCCUCACCUCCAACCCCUCCUGGGAGAGCUCAAGGCUGAGUAAAGGGGCCUCUAGUGAAAGCGACCACGCAGACCUUCUCAGAAACCAGGAAGCUCAAAAAAGCAGUGAAGAGGGUAGGCUAACUCUGCCGUCUUUGGAGAGCAAUUUCUCGGCCUCUGAAUUUUCAAAGAAAUGUAGAUACAGCAUCUCCUCAGUUCCGUGCUCGUUGUGCGCAUCGUGUCUGCCCUUCCAGGGUGGGAAAUGGCGCGCUCAUAGCCCUUGGUGAGCAAGAGCUUGCCUCGGCCUGAGUGGCAGUAGCUCUCGUCUGUCCACCAGAAUGAGCCGGGCAUUACCCUUCCUCAGCUCGCCCCCUGUCCCUUCCAGUGAAGAGACCUAGUUGUCUGGUCCAAUGUCAAACUUUGCAAGGCCGUAAACCACCUGUAACCCUCAAACAGAGGGCUCAGGAAGGACGAAACACUGAUGGAGGAAAUCCUGACUGUCUUAAGCCUGCUCAUUAAUGAGAGGGACGUAAUAACAGGCGAAGUGGAGAAGCUUAUAAAUCACGGGCAAAGCUGGGCAUAGCUGGCGGGGAGGCCUGGCAGAUGGGAGCCCAGGGUUCAUUUCUGGGGUUACUGGAACCCUGCCUGGUCCUUGGGAUAGCCAAAUGCCGGGCGCCGUGUUUCCUUCCUGCCUCGCUGGGAGAGGUCUCACAACUUGACGGCUUAACAGAAGCAAAAUGGAAACCCCAUGAGUCAAUCUGAGUCUGCGUGACUCAGGGUCUGGAUGAAAUUGGAAAUGUCACAUGUGGCACGUCCAGAAUGAAGGAGUUUCCUCGUGCUCUGAUGUCUGUAUCUAUGUGGACAGUGAUCUCAGGAUGCUUCAUCAAUCAAGCCUGACGAUAACAACAACAGUGAAUGCGUGGUACCCGACCCUUACUGAACCCUCGUCUAUCCCAGGUACUUAGAGAGAUUACAUAUAGUUUCUUGUCUAGUCCUCACAACAAACCUGGGAGGAAACCCGGGCUCAGAGAGGUGAUGUGACCGCCCAGGAUCACCCAGCAUCAGAGCCAAGAAUCACAGCCAUGGCUGCUGGAUUCCAGAGCCCAGUUUCCUCGCCGUACCAUCACAACCAGAUUCUGGUUCCGUUCAGGAUGCAAACUGGAGUGGAGGUUAAGAUCAUGGGCCAUGGAGCCAGGCAGACCCCGGAGCCUGUCUUGGCCGCUUAAUUUAGGCUGAGUCACUCUGCCUCCUGGAACCUCAGUUUCCUCGUCUGUAAAAUGGAGGGAAUACUGCUCUUUGUGAGAAUUAAAUGAGACACUUCACAUAAAGUGCUGAGCACCCGUAGGAAGUCAGUCACCGGGGUGGGGGCGCCUGCUUCUGGGGGCACCCAGGCAGGAGGGUUUGAGGAGGGCCCCAGCAGGGCCCUUAGAGGAGCUGCAGAAAGCAGUGCUGGUCACAUCCACAAUUUCGAUGAAACCUGUAAUUAUAACCCCUCUUGCCACUCCCGGCCCUGGGGCAGUGAUAGGAUCUCUGCCGUUUUCCAGGGUCAGGUCUGAUCACUGCAUGGCUGGGCAGACACAGAUGGGAGGGGAACGUUUGGGGGGGCACUUUCUCUGAGUCAGGCAGCAGGACACACCCAGAACGCACCGUGGGGCACCCACCCAAAGGGAGAAGCUGUCGCAGCCCCUUUCACAGGAGACUGCAAUGAGAUCGAAGGCCCUGGAGUUUCUGCCCAGCUUCUGUUUUUUACCCCCAAGAGCUCAUAUGUAAUAUGCUGAAUUUGAGCUCAAUUCAUCUUAAAUAACAGCUCCCGUCCAUUGAAUUCUUACCAUACGCCAGGCUCUGGGCUGGGCACGUUUUAAGCACGAUCUAAUUUGAUCCUCAAAACAGCCCCGUGGGGUGGUAUCAAUUGCUCAUGUGUAUACAGCAGUUCCUAUGUGCCAGGCACUGUUCUAAGUACUUCACGUGUAUUAAUUUAUGCAAUCCUAUCAGGUGAGUACUAUCAUUAACCCUUUUUUACAGAUGGGAAAACUGAGGCUCAAAGAGGUUGAGUAACCUAACCUGCUCAAGGUCACAGGGCUAGAGAGUGAGGGAGCUAGGCUUCAAAGCAGGACAGUCUGGACCAGGCAUCACACUUACCCCUACGCUGUAAGGCCUCUCCAACCUAUGGACUGCUGUCACUGUCCCCAUUUGGCAGAUGAGAAAACUGAGGCUCAGAGACAAUCCACAGCCAGCCAACGUCAGAGCUGGGAUCUGGCACCAAAGCCCAGAAUGGCCUGGGUCCUGACUGCAGUUGCUCAGCUGGUGUCCUCUCCGGUGGACACGAAUGACAGGAUUGGAGGAGCAGAGCGGGGCGAUUGGCCUUGCCCCUAGGAAUAAUCACAACCCGUUGCCCUGGAGAAGUGCUAUGAGUCUCCUCAUUUUAUGGAUGAGAAAAAUGAGGCCCAGAGAGGGGAGGUCUCUGCCCAGCCAGAGAGCGAUGGGGCUGAGACUUGAACCCCUGACUCUGGACCGAAGCCCAGGCACGUCCCUCCUUCCAGUCAAGGUGUCUGAAAUUCCACUCUAAGGAAUUCAUUCUUUUGGGCCCUGAAGGUGUCUGGUCUUCACAUCAGUUAAAAAGUACUUGUUGAGCCAUGACCUUGUUCUCGGCAUCGCACUGAGUCAAGAGUUUUCAAACUUUUGUGGAGGCCCCGGAGCUCUAGGGAGGGUCCCAGGCAGGGUCUGAGAUGACCACACAUGCAGGGGUGUCCUGCCUCGUCCCCCGUCUCUGUCAAGAACAGCUUUCCUUGUAUCUGUUUUAUAUUGAGACGCACAUAGAUUUUCUUUUGGGGAAAGAAAUCCACCCCUAAAUAUGCUUGAAAAUUACCAUGUUGGAUCCUGGGGACAUAGAGAUGAUAUGACAUGUCCCUGGCCUUGAAGAGCCAUCAGAGGACAGACAUACAAAUCCAUUGCAGCACAGCAGCAAGCUUAGCAACACCCAGGGAGGCAGAAGUGCAGAGACAACUUGAAAGAAGAAGUGGUUAGCUCUGGGGCAAAGGAGGGUGCUGAGCAGUCAAGGGGCGCUUCUGAGAGGAGGGGACAUUGAACCAAGUUUGCAGAGACUGGAUUCUCUGAGCAACCAAGAUGGGGAAGAUCAUUCCAGAUAAAGGGAACAGCAUGGCAAAGGCACAGAGGUGUGAUGAAAAAUGAUGCAUACACUCGUCCCUCGGUAUCCACGGGAGAUUGGUUCCAGGACACUCCUCUGAUACCAAAGUCCGAGGAUGCUCUAGUCCCUUAUAUAAAAUGGCUCAGCAUUUUCAUAUAACCUACGCACAUCCUCCCGUGUACUUUAAAUCAUCUCUAAUUACUUAUAAUACAAUGUAAAUGCUAUGCAAAUAGUUGUUAUACUGUAUUGUUUACGGAACAACGGCAAGGGAAAAAAGUCAGUACCUGUGCAGUACCAUCCUAGGCCUUUUGAUCUGAGGUUGGUUGAAUCUGCAGAUGUGGACCUUUGGGUACGGAGGGCCAACUGUAUUGCUGGAGCCUUAAGCAGCCCUGGAACGGAAGACUUUGGGACAUAAAGGUGCUAUUAUCAGCUAGUGGCUGAUUGCAUGGACUCAUGGAGUCCAUGGACUCGUGGAGCAGAUGACUUUGAAACAAUCACUGACUUUCACUAUCAAUGUGCUCAUCGUAUCUGAGAAGUCAGAAGUGCUUUUCUUUACUACGCCAGGUACUAUGCUAGCUGUAGGGACAAGGAUAUGAGCUCUCUGCUCUCCAGUGUCCUAACACCUGGAAUGAGAAGGGGUGUGAAGAUGCAGCCCAGGCUGCUGGUCAACAAGAGUUUCUUAAGGUGGGGUGCAGUGGGGGUGCAGGGGCUGGAGGUGAUCAAGAGUUAGCUGUUGAAGCCCAGAGGCGGGCAAGGGGCGAUGGCUUCCGACAGGCACAAUCGGGGAGGGCUUGACGGGCAAGAUGGCAUUGAAGUUUGACUUAGAGACGUGGGGAGGAUUGCGAUAGACAGGGAUGGGUGGAUAUAUUCUGGGCUAAGGAAGGAACAGCAACGGGAAAGGCCUGAAGACAGGAACGCAUGGGUGUGACGAGGGAGCAGCCGGGCUCAGCUGGAGGGCAGCGUGCGGUGCACGGAAGGAAGGGGAAGGAGAUAAAACUGGAAAGGUUUGUUGGCACAGACUUCAGAGAAAUGGGAAAGAGGGAAGCCAAGGAUCCAGACCCGGUGAUUUGGGCCACAGGACCUGGGCCCGAGCAGGGCACAGCCCCACCCUCGUGUUACCACCCCCUGUGGAGUGUCCACCCCCCUGGAAGUGCCUCUGAGGGACAAGAGCAAUCACAGCCCGGAGGGACAGUGUCUCAUAGUGGCUAGGAGGGCCGCUUCUGGAGCCACCUGCAUGGGUGGAGGCCAGCAGCCUUACGAAGCAGCCCUGUGACCUUGGGCAAGUCACUUUGCCUCUCGGAGCCCUGUUUGCUCAUCUGUAAGAUGGGGCCAGUAAUACUUAUCCCCGAGGAUUGGUGUGGGGAUUAAAUUAGUUGAUAGACUCAAAAGGCACAGCACAGAGCCAGUCACACAGCAAGGACGCCUGAGAUGCUAGUCUGUUGCAUAUUUAGCUGCUUAUUUCACUGCGCACCCUCUCCAGCUGUGGUCAGAGGAGGGGAGCCAAGUUUCAUUUGUGUGUUGGUUUACUUGAUUGUGGGAAGUUUAAGACUAAGGAAGACUAAGCUGAAAAUAUCAAUAACUUUAGGUGCCACUUAUUAACAGAUCCUGGUGACCAACUCUGUAUCGUAUCUACUCUUCACGUGUCCAUUUCCUUCUACGUGGUGUUGGGAGAAGUUUGGGGUGGGAAGCUCGAUUCACUCCUGGUCCCAAUUUUUCCAGGUCAGCCAUUCGCAAGGUGCCAAUCUGUGCCAGGCCUUGUCCCCUGUCCCUUGUUCCCUGAGCACAGGGAAUAUUAAUGAGUAAGCUGCAGCACUGCCCUAGGUGAGUCGCCAUCCUGGCCCCGAGCCUGAGGUUCUUGACUGUUCACUAUAACCCAGUGGGAUCUGUGCUGAGGAGUCUCAUGGGAAUCCCAGAGAGAGAGCACACCAGAGGUGACAGGAGAGGAGAGGAGAGGGCUGUCAUCUCAAAGGGGAAACAUCCUGAUUUGGCCUGUCUCAUGAAGUCAUUUUAUUGACUACAAUUUUCGACAUUCAGAUUGUCGUCUGGUUUUGUAGGUACAGCCAGAGGAAGGAUGCGACAAAGAGUACGUGAAAAGGGCGCCAGCCUGGCGCCCUGGCGCAAACAACCCUUCCUCAAACCUCUGUUGAAAUCCCCCAGUGCACAGAAGGAGGGGCGUGAGGCAAUGGGAUGAUAAUAAUAAUCGUGGCUGGUUUUUGAACACAUACUAUGUGUCAGGACUGUGUUAGGUAUUUUACAGAUUUUCGACUCUGCCACGGAGAGAAAACUGAGCUCAGAUACCAACACAUCCAGGAUCACGCAGCCCACCGUGGCCUGGCGUGGGCACCAGGGAGCUCACAGAAUGCCCACUGAACCUUAGAAGCCUAAGCUGAGACUUAUCCUGCGAGGACGAGGAAGGCUGAAGUAGACGGUCAGUCCUCGUUGUUCUCGCAUUCUAUAUUUGUGAACUUGCCUACUUGCUAAAGAUUUAUUUGUAAUCCCCACAUCAAUCCUCGAGGUGCUUCUGUGGUCAUUUCUAGACAUGCACAGAGUGGCGAAAAAGUUGAGUUGCCUGACAUGCAUCUUCCCAGCCGAGGACGACAAGGCCACGCUCCGCCUUCUUGUCUCCGUUCUUAUACCUUAAAUAAAGGUCCUUUUCAUGGUCUA